AGAGUUUGAUCAUGGCUCAGAACGAACGCUGGCGGCGUGGAUAAGACAUGCAAGUUGAACGCUUAUUCCGGUGUAGCAAUAUAUCGGAGUGGGAGUAGCGCAAGGGUGCGUAACACGUGGGUAAUUUGCCAUGAAGUUGGGGAUAACUCGCUGAAAGGCGAGCUAAUACCGGAUGUGAAGUUUGGGUGGCAUCACCUGACCUCUAAAGCUGGGGAUCGCAAGACCUGGCGCUUCAUGAUAAGCCCGCGGCCUAUCAGCUAGUUGGUGAGGUAACGGCUCACCAAGGCUAAGACGGGUAGCUGGUCUGAGAGGACGACCAGCCACACUGGAACUGAGACACGGUCCAGACACCUACGGGUGGCAGCAGUCGAGAAUUUUUCUCAAUGGGCGCAAGCCUGAAGGAGCGACGCCGCGUGGGGGAUGAAGGGUUUCGAUCCGUAAACCCCCGUCAUUUGUGAACAAUGGUUAUUAUUUAAAAGAUGAUAACUUGAUAGUAAUGAAAGAGGAAGGGACGGCUAACUCUGUGCCAGCAGCCGCGGUAAUACAGAGGUCCCGAGCGUUGUUCGGAUUCACUGGGCGUAAAGGGUGCGUAGGUGGCAAGGUAAGUUUGAUGUGAAAGCUCAGGGCUUAACCCUGAAAUGGCAUUGAAUACUACUGUGCUGGAGGUUUGGAGGGGGGACUGGAAUUCUUGGUGUAGCAGUGAAAUGCGUAGAUAUCAAGAGGAACACCAGUGGCGAAGGCGAGUCCCUGGACAACACCUGACACUGAGGCACGAAAGCUAGGGGAGCAAACAGGAUUAGAUACCCUAGUAGUCC
rnacentral:rRNA from 1 species